UAUAAUGUUUGACUCUUCGUCUUAUUUAAAAUUUUUCUAUGAUUAAUAUUUUUGUUGUUAUUACAUGAUAAAACAAGAAUAGUACUUUUAUGCGUGACUAAUUUUUUUAUAAAAUUUUCAAAUAAGAUAAACAGCCAAACGUUGGACGCAGACA
rfam:Oryza glaberrima chromosome 5 Oglab05_0028_9, whole genome shotgun sequence.